GAAGAUUGUGAUAAACCGCCACUCUAGGAACUUCCUAAAUCUAAAGUGAUAGUGAUGCAAUCAAUACUAACACAUGUGAUUGUAGAUUAAGAAAUUGUUUAAGGAUGUUUAAGGAUGGGAUUGGAUGAGUUUAAAUGUACAGUGCAUUUAUUUAUACUAAGUUUAUUUACACUAAGUGUAUAAACAACGGUAAAGAUAAAGAUUAAAUAUUGUAACAUACUGUAACAAGAAAUAAAAAAUAAAUUAAAUAUAGGGUAUCACAUCUCAUCUCACCAUUUAUCCAAACUCAUCCUGUUGUUGAAG
rnacentral:lncRNA from 1 species